rnacentral:rRNA from 1 species
UACGUAGGGGGCUAGCGUUGUCCGGAAUCAUUGGGCGUAAAGCGCGUGUAGGCGGUCCGGUAAGUCCGCUGUGAAAGUCGAGGGCUCAACCCUCGAAUGCCGGUGGAUACUGUCGGGCUAGAGUGCGGAAGAGGCGAGUGGAAUUCCUGGUGUAGCGGUGAAAUGCGCAGAUAUCAGGAGGAACACCGGUGGCGAAGGCGGGUCUCUGGGCCUUACCUGACGCUGAGGAGCGAAAGCGUGGGUAGCGAACAGG